GACGAACGCUGGCGGCGUGCUUAACACAUGCCAGUCGAACGGAAAGGCCCUGCUUUUGUGGGGUGCUCGAGUGGCGAACGGGUGAGUAACACGUGAGUAACCUGCCCUUGACUUUGGGAUAACUUCAGGAAACUGGGGCUAAUACCGGAUAGGAGCUCCUGCUGCAUGGUGGGGGUUGGAAAGUUUCGGCGGUUGGGGAUGGACUCGCGGCUUAUCAGCGUGUUGGUGGGGUAGUGGCUUACCAAGGCUUUGACGGGUAGCCGGCCUGGGAGGGGGGCCGGCCACGUUGGGACUGAGAUACGGCCCGGACCCCUACGGGAGGCAGCAGUGGGGAAUAUUGCACUAUGGGCUGAAGCAUGAUGCGGCACCGCCGCGUGCGGGAUGACGGCCUUGCGGUUGUGUAGCGAUUUCGCCUGUCACGAGGCGUGAGUGACGGUAAUGGGUAAAGAAGCACCGGCUAACUACGUG
rnacentral:rRNA from 1 species